rnacentral:lncRNA from 10 species
UCAUGCACAUAGUAAGUGCUCAAUAGAUAUUUGUAGAAUGAAUGGAUGAAUUGGCCCUGCCCUCCAAACAUGUUCGAUUAAAAAUCAUUCAAGAAUAUACACAAAGUAGUAUAUGAAAAAAUGACAGACUUCUGUCCUUUCUUUUCAAUUAUUAGACCCACAGCCUUAGUUCAGUCUUUCCUGAUUUUAUACCUGAAGAACUGCCACAACUCUUUUUAUUGGCUCUUCUUGUCACCUUCCAAUGUUAAUAGCUUACAAGAUAAAAUCCAAACCACUUGGCGUGACAUUCAAGGUCCUCCAUAAUCUGACACCAGCCUACCUUUUUCACCUCUUUUUCCUCUACUUAAAUAUUAUGAAUCUCGAUGUCCCAACUACACAAGACUACUGGAUGUUUCCCAAAUGUGCCCUACAUUUCUCUUUGUUCUUCUUUUCUCCUCUUCCUGGAAUUCCAUUGCCCCCAUUUCUUCCUUCAACAAAUGCUAUCCAUUUUUAAAGGCCCAAUUCAAAUGUCAUUUCCUCUAUGCAGGCUUCUUGGACUCUCUCAGAUAGAAUUAGGCUUCCCUCUUUUCCACUUUCCCCUGGUACUUAUCAACCUUGAUGUAACAUUUAAAAUCAUAGAUGUCUCAGAAUUAUAAUAUUAGAUUUAGAAGUGGUCUUGUUGAUCAUGUGAUCCGACUUCUUCAUGUUAUCGAGGGCAAGAGCUAGAAGAAUCCAGGUCUUUUAAUUUGCCUUGACUUGUGAUUAUGUAUGUAUGUAUUUUUUAUCCUCUACCUGACAUCACUGGGCAGAAAUAGGGUGUUAUUCAUCUUUGUGUUCUUAUUCAUGAUACUUAAUAAAAUCUAUUGCACAUAGUGGAUAUACAAUAAGUAUGUUUCAAUUGACUUAAGAUCAGAGGGAUGGAUAAAAUAGAGGUACCAUUCAUAGUAUUGUACUCUGUACCAGGUACUAUGCCAAAGUUUUACAAGAAUUACCUGAUUGAUCAAACAAUCCUAUGAGAUAAGCACCAUUUGUAGCUUUAUUUGCCCAAGACUUCAUAGCCAGUAAGUUGUAGAAUCUGGACAAAAAUAAAAUUCCUGUGGCUCCAGAUUCUUUG